rnacentral:rRNA from 1 species
GACGAACGCUGGCGGCGUGCUUAACACAUGCAAGUCGAACGAAGAGCGAUGGACGCUUGCUUCUAUCAAUCUUAGUGGCGACCGUGUGAGUAACGCGUAAUCAACCUGCCCUUCAGAGGGGGACAACAGUUGGAAACGACUGCUAAUACCGCAUACGAUCUAAUCUCGGCAUCGAGGAUAGAUGAAAGGUGGCCUCUACAUGUAAGCUAUCACUGAAGGCGGGGAUUGCGUCUGAUUAGCUAGUUGGAGGGGUAACGGCCCACCAAGGCGAUGAUCAGUAGCCGGUCUGAGAGGAUGAACGGCCACAUUGGGAAUGAGACACGGCCCAGACUCCUACGGGAGGCAGCAGUGGGGAAUCUUCCGCAAUGGACGAAAGUCUGACGGAGCAACGCCGCGUGAGUGAUGACGGACUUCGGGUUGUAAAGCUCUGUUAAUCGGGACGAAAGGACUUCUUGCGAACAGUUAGAAGGAUUGACGGUACCGGAAUAGAAAGCCACGGCUAACUACGUG